rnacentral:rRNA from 1 species
UACGGAGGGUGCAAGCGUUAUCCGGAUUCACUGGGUUUAAAGGGUGCGUAGGAGGGCAGGUAAGUCAGUGGUGAAAUCUCCAAGCUUAACUUGGAAACUGCCGUUGAUACUAUCUGUCUUGAAUAUUGUGGAGGUGAGCGGAAUAUGUCAUGUAGCGGUGAAAUGCUUAGAUAUCGGGAGGAACACCAGUGGCGAAGGCGGCUUCCUGGCCUGUUCUUGACGCUGAGGCGCGAAAGCUAGGGGAGCAAACGGG